UCAUUUAUUAAUAUUUUGUUUAAAGCAUAGUUUUCUCUUCGAUAUAAUCACCAAGUAUAGUUUUAUCACGAAGAGAACCAGGAGUGAAAGUGAGUCCAUUGAAUGAUGAAUGAAUGUAUGAAGUCACUGGUUCAUUUCCAGAAGUUAAACCAAAAUUCAAUUCCUUUUUUCUUGUAUUCGGUGAAAAAUCUGUUUAAUGUAAGAAAAAGAAAGAGUUGCAAUCAAUAACCGUUUAUAAUAAUAAUGGUUUCUUUAAUUAUUUAGAAGCAUUGAGAUGAACCAUUACAGACCAAACAUUUUCAAUCCUUUUCAAGUUGACGAAAGAAACGACAAAGUUUACUUCAAACAAAAACUUGAAAAAGGAGGAGAUUAACCUUAAGGGCUAAUUUAGGAAACAUUUACAAACUUACAGCGAUACCUAUUGUAUUGUCAUGUAUAAGAGUAUCGCAAGUAGGCUUAGGAUGUGUCAAGAGGCUGUAACAUUUUUUUCACUCGACUUUUACCCUUACCUUAAGCUGACACACAGUCAUCAACAUAGGUUAAUAUUAAGGUAACAACUUGAAGUGUACAUAGAAGGAAGAAAAGGAGUGAAAAAAAGGAAAGGAAAAGAAAAGAAGGUCAAAAUUACCGUUCACUUUCUUUUGCUUGUUAUUCUUGGUUUCCCUUGCAUCUACUGGUCAAGAUGAUAUUUGGGCCUCAAAAGAGACUGUCUAUUUGACCUACAAACAAGAAUCAUCUCGUACAACAAGGCGAACGUGAAAACAAGUACAAAGAAAAAGCAAGCAAGAACAACAAUUUAACCUUCAAUUUGACCAACAAUUAUGAUAACAAGGAAAGAUAAGCUAAAUAACUAAAUACACAUUUGAUACUGUAAUUUGAAUAGCUUUUGACGCUUCCAGAAGUUACAAAGUUGCAAAGCUAAAAAGAUAAGCUGAAAAGCUAAAUAACUCUGGAUCCAUUGGAAAUGCUUUUUUUAACCAACAUUCAACCAAGUGAUCGCCUCAAUACAUUUGGAUUACAAGUUAAAUUUUCAUUGAAAAAACAGCAUUUACACACGGAAAAAGAAACUGACCAUUGAACAAUAAUUAACAGGCCAGCUAAUGAUGAAUACAACUAUUAUUAUUGAUAAAUUUGAAUAUUAUUGCCAAUAUUUGAAUAUGUUGACGUGAAAAGAGGAAAAGAAAGGAAAGAGGAAAAGAAAAUUGUUUCCUCCAAAAAAUGCGAUAAUGAUCAUUGCGAGAAAUGUAUCAACAAAAUAACGAUGAUUAGGCCCAGGCUGAUGGUGUAUAUGCAAAUAAAGAUCAAGAUUGGAAGCCAAAGAUGUCGAUAGAUAACAAUUGGUGUUGUUGAGCUUGGAUGGUAAAUGAUUUUAAAUAAUUAAUACCUUUUUCUGAUUGCUAUGUUUGCUGAUCACGACAAAUUUCAAUUGAGGUUCAACUUUCUCAAGAUCAAAUGAUUUCUUUGCGCUUGUUGGUUACAUCGGUUUUCACUGUUUUUUUUGUUUAAAACGCCAGAAGUUGGCCUCACAAGUGACCUUGGCUUAUGAAUUUAAAGAGGCCUACAAUUGAUUAGACAAUAAUUAGGAACAAAGCGUUUUACCAAACAUUGAAACAUUACGCUAAUUAACAAAUGGAUGGUGACAUUGAAAGGGAAAGUCAAUGGAAGGCUGAUUCCGUUUGGUACAAAAGACGUGAAGAGUCUUGUCUUUUCAUAAUUUAAUUAGUGAUAACAUUUAAUUAACAUUAAUUGUUACAAUAAUUUUGCUUUUAAUUAUCAUCUAAAUAGUGUCACUUAAUUAAAGGCUUGAGAACCUUGGUUCACUUGGAGGAUUUUUUUCAA